rnacentral:rRNA from 1 species
AAGGGCACCACAAGAACGCGUGGAGCAUGUGGCUUAAUUUGACUCAACGCGGGAAAUCUUACCGGGUCCGGACACACUGAGGAUUGGCAGGUUUAUAUAGUAAAAUGACUUGCUUAUUUUAUCAUAAAAUAUGCUAGUCCUUUCAUGAUUGUGUGAUAGGUGGUGCAUGGCCGUUCUUAGUUCGUGGAGUGAUCUGUCUGCUUAAUUGCGUUUCACAAGCGGUAAAAAAAAGGUUGACCACAUUCUAACUUGCACCUUCGGGUGUAUUGCUUAGGUGUACUUCCUAAAAAAAACCGCGAAGGCAACGAACGUGACCG